UCACGGCUCAGUUUUAACGGUCACGUGCAGUAUUGCAGCCUAUCGCCUGGCUAUAUUAAAUUGAGCAGGAAGUUUGAACACUAGAUGCGUUGGGGGAAGCAGAGCAGAGCUACAGGAGCCGACUACCACCAGACCAGCCAGGAGAGACGUCAGUUAUGUGUAAAACAAACGGAGGAUCUGGCCAGAAGAUGGCGAGCUAA